AGCCUCCCACACAGACAUGUCAUAAUGGUUUGAGAUUCCCAUUGAAAUUGAAUGGGAAUUACAGAGUUUUCGAAAUUCAGAUCACAGUUUGAAUGUAGUGCUUGAAUCAGAUGGGGUCCAGAUUGAUUAAAUCAUGCUAAAUCAACAUCCAAACUGAACAGGGGGACUCAUGGACAGCCCUGAUUAGAAAUAGACAGGCUCUAAGAAACCUUGUGAUAAUCAACAGAGGAGCUUAAAGAAGAUAAAUCAGAUUAAAACAGCCAAAUCCAAUAUCCCAUCAUUUCCUAUGUGAAUAAUCCUUUAUUUUUAUCUUCUUUUUUGAGCAAAAGGGUUCAUAAAUCACUUAUUCCUGUCACUCUGUUCCAGCACCCCUAUGGACAGCGGUGAGAUUACAAGCCUACAUUUUCACAGCACACUGCCAAAAUCCAUCAGUACAAAUCCUUGAGGGAUGGAAAGAAAUAACUUGCUCAUAUGUAUUCUGCUUUUUGCCUUCUGUAGUUAAAGUGUGGUUUUCAUUACUGAAUGUAAAAUAUGAAGUGAUCUGUCAUUGUAGCAAUAAACUCAUUGCUUCUACUGCUUAAACCUGACCUCAUUAGAGAAUCUUCAUUCCAUUCCUUUAGUGCUUAUACAUUGGCUGGAAUCCUGUUGGGAGAAGUCCACCUGCACAACAGGGAUGAUGUUAUUGCCAGCAACUUAUCUCUACUGAUUAAAGGCCUCCUCUGGAAAUCUUGGGAAGCAUGUGAAUUUUGAGGAGCAUUGUGUCCAAGCAGGGCACACUAGAGAUGGGGACAAACCUGAAAAAUGGUGGCUGAUGAUGGCU
rnacentral:lncRNA from 1 species